rnacentral:hammerhead_ribozyme from 1 species
AUCCAGCCGAUGACUCCCAAAUAAGACGAAAUGCACAUCCUGGAU